rnacentral:rRNA from 1 species
UUUACGGAGAGUUUGAUCCUGGCUCAGGACGAACGCUGGCGGCGUGCUUAACACAUGCAAGUCGAACGGUUCUAGAGGUUAGAGUUUAGAAGUUUGAUAGAAGUUAGAGAUUAGAGGUUAGAGGUUAGAUACAAGCAUUGCUUGAGGUCUUAAUUAAAGGACCGCAAAGAAUGUCAGAAUCUAACAUCCAACUUCGAACAUCUAACCUCUAAUUGAACCUCUAACCUCUAACCUCUAGGAUAGUGGCGGACGGGUGAGUAACGCGUGGGUAACCUGCCCUGGAGAGGGGGAUAACACCGCGAAAGUGGUGCUAAUACCGCAUGAAGCUAUCAAGUUGCAUGACUUGAGAGCCAAAGGAGUAAUCCGCUCUUGGAUGGACCCGCGUCUGAUUAGCUGGUUGGUGAGGUAACGGCUCACCAAGGCGACGAUCAGUAGCCGGCCUGAGAGGGUGACCGGCCACACUGGGACUGAGACACGGCCCAGACUCCUACGGGAGGC